rnacentral:rRNA from 1 species
GACGGGACCCGCACAAGCGGUGGAGCAUGUGGUUUAAUUCGACGAUACGCGAGGAACCUUACCUGGCCUUGACAUACUAAAAAGCUUUAAGAGAUUAGAGUGUGCUAGCUUGCUAGAAUUUAGAUACAGGUGCUGCACGGCUGUCGUCAGCUCGUGUCGUGAGAUGUUGGGUUAAGUCCCGCAACGAGCGCAACCCUCGUGUUUAGUUGCUAACAGUUCGGCUGAGAACUCUAAACAGACUGCCUACGCAAGUAGGAGGAAGGUGAGGACGACGUCAAGUCAUCAUGGCCCUUACGGCCAGGGCUACACACGUGCUACAAUGGGGUAUACAAAGAGCAGCGAUACGGUGACGUGGAGCAAAUCUAGAAAAUGCCUCUCAGUUCGGAUUGUAGUCUGCAACUCGACUACAUGAAGUUGGAAUCGCUAGUAAUCGUAGAUCAGCAAUGCUACGGUGAAUACGUUCCCGGGUCUU